GGAAUCGAAGGUAAAACCCUAUUUCUCAACUCUAUAGCUUUACAACUCUCAUUUUUUAGGUUAACUACGGUAUUCCCGUUGAAACCCCCACCUGUUUGUGAUGCUAUUUGUCUUGAUAAUUGACCAAUUUGUGUCUCCAAAUUCUUGAUGGAUGCUUCAUGAUUCUUACUCAAUGUCUCAAAGUUACUUUAAGUCAUCUUCAUAAAUUGAGCCAUAGUUUUUCUAAUGGGGAAGGUUUCCUUGGUUGUUGCAUUGAGGAACCUAUGGAAUUUGUG
rnacentral:lncRNA from 1 species